rnacentral:rRNA from 1 species
UACGUAGGUGGCAAGCGUUGUCCGGAUUUACUGGGCGUAAAGCGCGCGUAGGCGGCUUUGUAGGUUAGAGGUGAAAGCCCGGGGCUCAACCCCGGAACUGCCUUUAAGACUGCAUCGCUUGAAUCCGGGAGAGGUGAGUGGAAUUCCGAGUGUAGAGGUGAAAUUCGUAGAUAUUCGGAAGAACACCAGUGGCGAAGGCGGCUCACUGGACCGGUAUUGACGCUGAUGUGCGAAAGCGUGGGGAGCAAACAGG